GUAGGUGGCAAGCGUUGUCCGGAAUUAUUGGGCGUAAAGCGCGCGCAGGCGGUUCUUUAGGUCUGAUGUGAAAGCCCACGGCUCAACCGUGGAGGGUCAUUGGAAACUGGAGAACUUGAGUACAGAGGAGGAAAGCGGAAUUCCACGUGUAGCGGUGAAAUGCGUAGAGAUGUGGAGGAACACCAGUGGCGAAGGCGGCUUUCUGGUCUGUAACUGACGCUGAGGCGCGAAAGCGUGGGGAGCAAGCAGGAUUAGAUACCCUGGUAGUCCACGCCGUAAACGAUGAGUGCUAAGUGUUAGGGGGUUUCCGCCCCCCUUAGUGCUGCAGCUAACGCAUUAAGCACUGCGCCUGGGAGUACGGCCGCAAGGCUG
rnacentral:rRNA from 1 species